CCAAUAGCGUAUAUUAAAGUUGUUGCAGUUAAAAAGCUCGUAGUUGAAUUUCGGGAUCAAUUUAUUGGUCGUGCUAUUGUACGUACUGGUAUUAUUGAUUCCUACCUUCUGACGAACCAUGAUGUCAUUAAUUUGGUGUCAUGGGGAAUCAGGACUGUUACUUUGAAAAAAUUAGAGUGUUUAAAGCAGGCUCACGCUUGAAUACAUUAGCAUGGAAUAACGAAAUAGGACGUUUGAUUCUAUUUUGUUGGUUUCUAGGAUCGACGUAAUGAUUAAUAGGGAUAGUUGGUGGCAUUAGUAUUCAAUUGUCAGAGGUGAAAUUCUUGGAUUUAUUGAAGACUAACUACUGCGAAAGCAUUUGCCAAGGAUGUUUUCAUUAAUCAAGAACGAAAGUUAGGGGAUCGAAGACGAUCAGAUACCGUCGUAGUCUUAACCAUAAACUAUGCCGACUAGGGAUCGGAUGAUGUUAAUUUUUUAAUGACUCAUUCGGCGCCUUACG
rnacentral:rRNA from 1 species